rnacentral:rRNA from 1 species
UACGGAAGGCAGCAGUGGGGAAUAUUGCACAAUGGGCGAAAGCCUGAUGCAGCUAUGCCGCGUGUAUGAAGAAGGCCUUAGGGUUGUAAAGUACUUUCAUCGGGGAGGAAAAAACAAAACUAAUAAUUUUAUUUCUUGACGUUACCCGAAAAAGAAGCACCGGCUAACUCCGUGCCAGCAGCCGCGGUAAUACGGAGGGUGCUAGCGUUAAUCAGAAUUACUGGGCGUAAAGAGCACGUAGGUGGUUUUUUUAAAGUCAGAUGUGAAAUCCCUGGGCUUAACCUAGGAACUGCAUUUUGAAACUGAAAUACUAGAGUAUCGUAGAGGGAGGUAGAAUUCUAGGUGUAGCGGUGAAAUGCGUAGAUAUCUGGAGGAAUACCUGUGGCGAAAGCGGCCUCCUAAACGAAUACUGACACUGAGGGUGCGAAAGCGUGGGGAGCAAACAGGGAUUAGAUA